rnacentral:rRNA from 1 species
UACGGAGGGUGCGAGCGUUGUUCGGAAUCACUGGGCGUAAAGGGCGUGUAGGCGGUCCGCUAAGUCUGAUGUGAAAGCCCGGGGCUCACCCCCGGAAGGGCAUUGGAAACUGGCGGACUCGAGUCCCGGAGAGGAAGGUGGAAUUCCUGGUGUAGCGGUGAAAUGCGCAGAUAUCAGGAGGAACACCGGUGGCGAAGGCGGGUCUCUGGGCCGUAACUGACGCUGAGGAGCGAAAGCAUGGGGAGCGAACAGG